rnacentral:rRNA from 1 species
GAUGAACGCUGGCGGCGUGCCUAAUACAUGCAAGUCGAGCGAACGGACGAGAAGCUUGCUUCUCUGAUGUUAGCGGCGGACGGGUGAGUAACACGUGGAUAACCUACCUAUAAGACUGGGAUAACUUCGGGAAACCGGAGCUAAUACCGGAUAAUAUUUUGAACCGCAUGGUUCAAAAGUGAAAGACGGUCUUGCUGUCACUUAUAGAUGGAUCCGCGCUGCAUUAGCUAGUUGGUAAGGUAACGGCUUACCAAGGCAACGAUGCAUAGCCGACCUGAGAGGGUGAUCGGCCACACCGGAACUGAGACGCGGUCCAGACUCCUACGGGAGGCAGCAGUAGGGAAUCUUCCGCAAUGGGCGAAAGCCUGACGGAGCAACGCCGCGUGAGUGAUGAAGGUCUUCGGAUCGUAAAACUCUGUUAUUAGGGAAGAACAUAUGUGUAAGUAACUGUGCACAUCUUGACGGUACCUAAUCAGAAAGCCACGGCUAACUACGUG